GCUGUUCAUGGAAGAUUCUCAUAGAGCUCAAUUUGUGGUGUAUAUUGAUAAACUGCAAAGAUAUGAUUUACUUAAUGUUGAUUCGGCAAUUGACGUGAAGUUCUGUGGAAUAAGUGGCGGUUGUUUAACAAACUCGAACCAUGUCCUGUUCUUUCAAGAUUGAUUAGUGAAGCAUGUUUAUUUGCCAAUUUAUUCUAAGGCAACACACCCGCCACAUCCCAGCGUACAUAUACAAUGAUUUUAUUAUUACUGAGAAAAGCAAACAGGGUGUUUAAGCAAGAACUUGGAAUACUUAACGUACUGGAAUUUGAAAGGAAUGAAACAUUCUAUUUUUAAAUGCUAACAUUUUACAGAUAGAUGGUGUUCAUUUCAACAACCUGGGAUUUGAAAAUUUUCCACAAUGUGAGAGAAAUGAUUUUGAAGUGCAUUGCAGAUAUGUAAUUCACACAUGUACUGGAAGAUACUGUAUUCUAAUUGGUGGCACAUUUGUAUCUAUAUUAUCAUAUAACAACAGCGAAGGCUGCUGCAGCUGGGGAAGCUGCUAAAACCGAAUGAAGAACAAACGAAAUUGAGCAGGUUUCAGAAGCUAACAAAUCCAAUGUAUCAGAAAAAGACUUUAGCACAAUUAUAUCAAAUGAUGUUCCUGCUGUCACGCAAGGUAUGUUGUUGGUUUUAAAAGACUUGAAGGUACUACCGCCUGACUAUUCAGAACCAAAACUUCGGGAAAGAACAGAUACCUUUGGAAUCCACACAAAGCACUUCAACAUCUGCUCCAACACCGACUUUGCCAGCUUCAGUUUUGAAUCAAAAUUCUGCCACAUUUUUUGCAUCCACUUUUUCUUGGUAUUGAUGAAAAAAUCAAAGCUAAGAUUGUAUCAGAUCAGUUUGUGGAGUUAGAUUCUAUAUAAAAUAAAGGCGAUUAUCAAUACCAUUUAGUCGAAAAUGGCAGUGGGGGAACUCUCGUUCAAAAUAGUUUUAAAUCGUCGACCAGUAUAAAAACGCUGGAUCAAAGGUUUAAUACAUUUCAUAUUUUUACAAGUGUUUACACAGACAGACACCCAACAUCUGCUGCUACUUUAAUGAAACAUUGCGACACAGUUCGUAAACUUGCAAAGCAAUCGGGGGAUUCCGCUGCCAUUUUUACGAUAGACAAUUUAGUAUCUUAAAAGAAGCAAGAUUGGCUUCGAUUUCAUAUGGGGAAAUCGAUACCCAGUUAUACACGCAGGCACUGGUCAUGGGGUUAAUUAAACCAAAACAAAAACAGUCCUUUCUUGGCGCAAGAUCCCACCAAAACAAACCGUGCUUUGAUUUUAACAACGGGUCUAGUGCCAGAAAAUCGUGCAUCUUUCAGCACAGAUGUCAAAAGUGCCCCGGUCCUCAUGGACGAAUUGUGUGUUUUUAAAAAGGUGCAAUCAAAUUUCAAGUCAAAGAACUGAUAACGAAACCGUGUGCAAGGUGCCUGCAGUCUUAAAUAAGGGUACUUUUCAUAUUGUUACACCAAUUAAUUCUGAUAACCUACGAUAUUGGCUCCAAGGUACGACUUGAAAUUAACUGAAUAUUUGAUGAAUGGCUUCACAAAGGGCUUUAAAAUACCUUUUACAGGUAUUCAUUCUUAUAAAUUUCCUGGGAAUUUCAAAUCUGCGACUGAAAAUUUAGAGGGCAUAAAAUCACUGUUGAAAUUGAUGCGGGUCGUGUUCCGGGUCCUUUGAAUGAACCACCUUUUAGCAGCUUUAUGACCUCAACUCUGGGUUUAGUACCAAAUCAGGAACCCAGUGAAUUUCGUGGAAUACAUUAUUUAUCAUUUUCAGAAGGUCAACUGUUAAGGCUGGAAUCCCAUCAGAAUUGUGUUUUGUUCAAUAUCAAAAUAUUGAUGUUGCAGUAGAACUUGUGAAAACUAUUGGACCUGGUGCGCUUCUUCAAAAUUUAUGUCUAAAAUGCAUUUAAAAUCAUUCCAAUUCAAUUGUAGGCUUGGUAAACAUCUCAGGACCUAAGUAUUAUAUGCCUGGUCAAAAGAUUAGUUCUACAAUGUUUGAAAUAUAUCUUUUUGUUUUAAGACACGCAUUUUAAAAGCAUUGCAAGGUUAUCAUAAUUUAGUUCCUAAAACAGACACACGUUUUCCAGUCGCAUAACUUAAUACGGUCAAUGGACGUAGUUUGCAAUUCGCAAUUUCUACGUAUACUGCUAACAGCCAUUUAUUUAUUGACCUUUCAUGUUUUCCUUCGAGCUGGAGAAUUUACUUCUUCCUCUCCUGACUCGUAUAUUAUAGUAGUAGAACAUGUAUAUAUAACAUUCAAUCGAACUAAAUAGCUUUGACUUGGUUCUGAAAAGCUAUAAAUAUAGUCGAGGCAAGACCCAUAAACUGCAUAUUUCAUGUAGUCACUAUGAAUUAGGUAUGUGCCCUUUGCAUGCAUUGUACUCGUAUUAUACAUGAAGUAGCGCUCCACCUGGCCCACUAUUUUCGUUUUUGAUAAUCAUCCAGUGACAAGAUAUUUCUUUAAUACCAAGCUUCAAAUGUCACUCACUCGGUUAGGUUAUAGUAAUGACUUUUACAAAGGUCAUAGUUUCCGCAUUGGUGCGGCAUUGCAAAGAGGUUUAUGGGGAGUUUCAGAA
rnacentral:lncRNA from 1 species